CGGGAUGGACGUACCUCUGGUGUACCAGUUGUCCUGCCAAGGGCAUGGCUGGGUAGCUAUGUACGGAAUGGAUAAGCGCUGAAAGCAUCUAAGCGCGAAGCCAACUUCAAGAUAAGAUUUCCCACCGCAAGGGUAAGACCCCAGAAAGACUAUCUGGUUGAUAGGUCGAAGGUGUAAGUGCAGCAAUGUAUUUAGCUUAUCGAUACUAAUAGGUCGAGGACUUGACCAAU
rnacentral:rRNA from 1 species